rnacentral:lncRNA from 1 species
CGUAACCCGUACCGUACGGUACGGUACGGNNNNNNNNNNNNNNNNNNNNUGUGCCCAGAUGGGCAAGGAGGCCAAUAGCACGUGAGCUGUACCAGCCACAGCGUGGCCAGUGGAACCAGGGCAGUGACCGCCCAGCUGUGGUGAGACACCUCUAGUCCUGGGGUCAGUUCUUGGUGCUUCUCUACGAAAAAGACAUUGUGGGGCAGGAAUAUGUCUAGAAAAGAGAAUGGAACUGUGGAAGGGUCUGGAGCACAAGAAACAGCUGAGGGAACUGGGAGGACUCAGCCUCGAGAAUAGGAGGCUCAAGGGGACUUUCUUGCUUUCCACAACCCUCUGGUAGGAGGAUGCAGUCAUGUGAGGGUUAGGCUCUGCUCCCAGGGAACAAAGGACAGGACAAGAGGGACUGGCCUCAAGUCGUUGCAAGAGGUUGGACAUCAGUAAGAAUCUCUGGAAAGGCUCAUCCAGCCCUGGCACAGAUUGUCCAGAGUAGUGGUGGAGUUCCUAUCCCUGAAAGGGUUUAAAAGCCGUGUAGAUGUGGCACCUGGGGGCAUAGUUUAGUGGUGGCCUUGGCAGUGAUGGGUGAGCAAUUGGUUUUAAUCCUCAGGGUCUUUUCCACUAAUUCCAUGAUGGCAACAGUUAGGUCUGUGCUUGUUUACAAGGUUUGAUCAGCUGAACACUGCCUUUGGGAGGUUUACAGGACAUCCUUCAAUGUUCUGACUGUGCAUGAGCAGAAGUCAUGCUUUCUGUGGCAGAAGAUGAGCAAGUGUGUCCCAGCUGUGGUUUUGCUUUAAAAACCCCUGCAAUUCAUCUGAAGACACCUUUUUUUGGAGGCCAGGGAUGGGCAGUGGUACAAGAUGAAUGAUGCCUCAAGACAUCUCUCUGCCAAAAUACAUAUUUGCUUUUCUAUGCCAGAAAAUGACAGGCCUGAAGCCACAAGGAGACUGCAAGAAAUCAAGGAGGUGGAGAAAGUCCAGGCACACUGAGGAGGGGGAGAACUUGAAUAGAAGCCAGCCAGGCAUUCCAUGUCCCAGGAAGUGCAGGGGACCCUCACCACCAGCUGGGACAUGGCCAUGGGAACUUUCUUCAUUCAUCCUCAAGAGAGGAGGACUAAAAAGUAGCAACAUUUGCAACAUUGCAGCAGUUGCCUCACUCUUUGCCAAUGAUUUCGAGUGCAUAUGGCUUCUGUACAGACCUGUUCAGUACUGGUCACCAAGCUUCCCAGCAUAACCUGCCAGUGACCAUCAAAGGCUGUAGAUAUCUCAGAAGAAUGUUGACCUUUUUAAACCUGACAUUUAUGAUUGAAACAAUAAAACCAUCAAACCAAACCCA